AGCCCUUGACAUGGGUAUCGCGGGUUCCGGAGACGGAGCCUUUCAGUUCGGCUGGAUACCGCACAGGUGCUGCAUGGCUGUCGUCAGCUCGUGUCGUGAGAUGUUGAGUUAAGUCCCGCAACGAGCGCAACCCUCAUCCUUAGUUGCCAUCAGGUUUGGCUGGGCACUCUAAGGAAACUGCCGGUGACAAGCCGGAGGAAGGCGGGGAUGACGUCAAGUCCUCAUGGCCCUUAUGGGCUGGGCUACACACGUGCUACAAUGGCGAUUACAAUGGGCAGCGAAGGGGCGACCUGGAGCGAAUCCCCAAAAAUCGUCUCAGUUCGGAUUGCACUCUGCAACUCGAGUGCAUGAAGG
rnacentral:rRNA from 1 species